AUUGAACGCUGGCGGCUGGCUUAACACAUGCAAGUCGAGCGGUAACAGAGAGAAGCUUGCUUCUCUGCUGACGAGCGGCGGACGGGUGAGUAAUGCCUAGGAAUCUGCCUAGUAGUGGGGGAUAACUUGCCGAAAGGUAAGCUAAUACCGCAUACGCCCUAAGGGAGAAAGGAGGGGAACUUCGGGCCUUUCGCGAUGAGAUGAGCCUAGGUCGGAUUAGUUAGUUGGUGAGGUAAUGGCUCACCAAGACCGCGAUCCGUAGCUGGUCUGAGAGGAUGAUCAGUCACACUGGAACUGAGACACGGUCCAGACUCCUACGGGAGGCAGCAGUGGGGAAUAUUGGACAAUGGGGGGAACCCUGAUCCAGCCAUGCCGCGUGUGUGAAGAAGGUCUUAGGAUUGUAAAGCACUUUAAGUUGGGAGGAAGAGCAGUUAACUAAUAUUUGACUGUUUUGACGUUACCGACAGAAUAAGCACCGGCUAACUUCGUGCCAGCCGCCGCAGUAA
rnacentral:rRNA from 1 species